rnacentral:rRNA from 1 species
UACGUAGGGUGCGAGCGUUAAUCGGAAUUACUGGGCGUAAAGCGUGCGCAGGCGGUUUUGUAAGCCAGAUGUGAAAUCCCCGGGCUCAACCUGGGAAUGGCAUUUGGGACUGCAAGGCUCGAGUUUGGCAGAGGAGAGUGGAAUUCCUGGUGUAGCGGUGAAAUGCGCAGAUAUCAGGAAGAACACCCGUGGCGAAGGCGGCUCUCUGGGACGGUACUGACGCUGAGACGCGAAAGCGUGGGGAGCGAACAGG